rnacentral:rRNA from 1 species
UACAGAGGGGGCAAGCGUUGUUCGGAAUUACUGGGCGUAAAGGGCGCGUAGGCGGCCUGUUAAGUCGAACGUGAAAUCCCCGGGCUCAACCCGGGAACUGCGUCCGAUACUGGCAGGCUUGAAUUCGGGAGAGGGAUGCGGAAUUCCAGGUGUAGCGGUGAAAUGCGUAGAUAUCGGGAGGAACACCAGUGGCGAAGGCGGCUUCCUGGACCAAUAUUGACGCUGAGGAGCGAAAGCCAGGGGAGCAAACAGG